rnacentral:rRNA from 1 species
AAGACCUUGUGCUUUUGGAGCGGCCGAUGCCUGAUUAGCUAGUUGGUAGGGUAAAGGCCUACCAAGGCUACGAUCAGUAGUUGGUCUGAGAGGACGACCAGCCACACUGGGACUGAGACACGGCCCAGACUCCUACGGGAGGCAGCAGUGGGGAAUUUUGGACAAUGGGCGAAAGCCUGAUCCAGCAAUGCCGCGUGAGUGAAGAAGGCCUUCGGGUUGUAAAGCUCUUUCAGUCGAGAAGAAAAAGUUGUGACUAAUAAUCACAAUUUAUGACGGUACCGACAGAAGAAGCACCGGCUAACUACGUGCCAGCAGCCGCGGUAAUACGUAGGGUGCGAGCGUUAAUCGGAAUUACUGGGCGUAAAGGGUGCGCAGGCGGCUUUGUAAGUCAGAUGUGAAAUCCCCGGGCUUAACCUGGGAAUU